GGAAGCUGUGAGUGCGCGCGGUUGCGGGGUCGCGUUGCGGCUACUGCUUUGCGUCCCCAGCGGGCAGCCCCCGGCUGGUUCCCGCCUCCGCUCUCGCCACCGGCGGGAGAAGCAGCUAGUGUGGGAGGAAAGGCGCCAUCUCCCGCCCCAUCUCUCCCGCUCUUGGCCGGCCGGAUCUUUUGGCUGUCCUGUGGCCUCGCUCCCCGCCCGGAUCCUCCUGACCCUGAGAUUCGUGGGUCUCACGUCCGGUGCACGCCCUGCUUCGGCCUCAGUUAAGCCUUUGUGGGCUCCAGGUCCCCGGUGAGAUUAGAAACGUUUGCAAACAUGUCCCGGAUCGAAAAGAUGAGCAUUCUGGGCGUGCGGAGUUUUGGAAUAGAGGACAAAGAUAAGCAAAUUAUCACUUUCUUCAGCCCCCUUACAAUUUUGGUUGGACCCAAUGGGGCGGGAAAGACGACCAUCAUUGAAUGUCUAAAAUAUAUUUGUACUGGAGAUUUCCCUCCUGGAACCAAAGGAAAUACAUUUGUACAUGAUCCCAAGGUUGCUCAAGAAACAGAUGUGAGAGCCCAGAUUCGUCUGCAAUUUCGUGAUGUCAAUGGAGAACUUAUAGCUGUACAAAGAUCUAUGGUGUGUACUCAGAAAAGCAAAAAGACAGAAUUUAAAACUUUGGAAGGAGUCAUUACUAGAACAAAGCAUGGUGAAAAGGUCAGUCUAAGCUCUAAGUGUGCAGAAAUUGACCGAGAAAUGAUCAGUUCUCUUGGGGUUUCCAAGGCUGUGCUAAAUAACGUCAUUUUCUGUCAUCAAGAAGAUUCUAAUUGGCCUUUAAGUGAAGGAAAGGCUUUGAAGCAAAAGUUUGAUGAGAUUUUUUCAGCAACAAGAUACAUUAAAGCCUUGGAAACACUUCGGCAGGUACGUCAGACACAAGGUCAGAAAGUAAAAGAAUAUCAAAUGGAACUAAAAUAUCUGAAGCAAUAUAAGGAAAAAGCUUGUGAGAUUCGUGAUCAGAUUACAAGUAAGGAAGCCCAGUUAACAUCUUCAAAGGAAAUUGUCAAAUCCUAUGAGAAUGAACUUGAUCCAUUGAAGAAUCGUCUAAAAGAAAUUGAACAUAAUCUCUCUAAAAUAAUGAAACUUGACAAUGAAAUUAAAGCCUUGGAUAGCCGAAAGAAGCAAAUGGAGAAAGAUAAUAGUGAACUCGAAGAGAAAAUGGAAAAGGUUUUUCAAGGGACUGAUGAGCAACUAAAUGAUUUAUAUCACAAUCACCAGAGAACAGUAAGGGAGAAAGAAAGGAAAUUGGUAGACUGUCAUCGUGAACUGGAAAAAUUAAAUAAAGAAUCUAGGCUUCUCAAUCAAGAAAAAUCAGAACUGCUUGUUGAACAGGGUCGUCUGCAGCUACAAGCAGAUCGCCAUCAAGAACAUAUCCGAGCUAGAGAUUCAUUAAUUCAGUCUUUGGCAACACAGCUAGAAUUGGAUGGCUUUGAGCGUGGACCCUUCAGUGACAGACAGAUUAAAAAUUUUCACAAACUUGUGAAAGAGAGACAAGAAGGGGAAGCAAAAACUACCAACCAACUGAUGAAUGACUUUGCAGAAAAAGAGACUCUGAAACAAAAACAGAUAGAUGAGAUAAGAGAUAAGAAAACUGGACUGGGAAGAAUAAUUGAGUUAAAAUCAGAAAUCCUAAAUAAGAAGCAGAAUGAGCUGAAAAAUGUGAAGUAUGAAUUACAGCAGUUGGAAGGAUCUUCAGACAGGAUUCUUGAACUGGACCAGGAGCUCAUAAAAGCUGAACGUGAGUUAAGCAAGGCUGAGAAAAACAGCAAUGUAGAAACCUUAAAAAUGGAAGUAAUAAGUCUUCAAAAUGAAAAAGCAGACUUAGACAGGACCCUGCGUAAACUUGACCAGGAGAUGGAGCAGUUAAACCAUCAUACAACAACACGUACCCAGAUGGAGAUGCUGACCAAAGACAAAGCUGACAAAGAUGAACAAAUCAGAAAAAUAAAAUCUAGGCACAGUGAUGAAUUAACGUCACUGUUGGGAUAUUUUCCCAACAAAAAACAGCUUGAAGACUGGCUACAUAGUAAAUCAAAAGAAAUUAAUCAGACCAGGGACAGACUUGCCAAAUUGAACAAAGAACUAGCUUCAGCUGAGCAGAAUAAAAAUCAUAUAAAUAAUGAACUAAAAAGAAAGGAAGAACAGUUGUCCAGUUACGAAGACAAGCUGUUUGAUGUUUGUGGUAGCCAGGAUUUUGAAAGUGAUUUAGACAGGCUUAAAGAGGAAAUUGAAAAAUCAUCAAAACAGCGAGCCAUGCUGGCUGGAGCCACAGCAGUUUACUCCCAGUUCAUUACUCAGCUAACAGAUGAAAACCAGUCAUGUUGCCCCGUUUGUCAGAGAGUUUUUCAGACAGAGGCUGAAUUACAAGAAGUCAUCAGUGAUUUGCAGUCUAAACUGCGACUUGCUCCAGAUAAACUCAAGUCAACAGAAUCAGAGCUAAAAAAAAAGGAAAAGCGGCGUGAUGAAAUGCUGGGACUUGUGCCUAUGAGGCAAAGCAUAAUUGAUUUGAAGGAGAAGGAAAUACCAGAAUUAAGAAACAAAUUGCAGAAUGUCAAUCGAGACAUACAGCGCCUAAAGAAUGACAUAGAAGAACAAGAAACACUCUUGGGUACAAUAAUGCCUGAAGAAGAAAGUGCUAAAGUGUGCCUGACAGAUGUUACAAUUAUGGAGAGGUUCCAGAUGGAACUUAAAGAUGUUGAAAGAAAAAUUGCACAACAAGCAGCUAAGCUACAAGGAAUAGACUUAGAUCGAACUGUCCAACAAGUCAACCAGGAGAAACAAGAGAAACAGCACAAGUUAGACACAGUUUCUAGUAAGAUUGAAUUGAAUCGUAAGCUUAUACAGGACCAGCAGGAACAGAUUCAACAUCUAAAAAGUAUGACAAAUGAGCUAAAAUCUGAGAAACUUCAGAUAUCCACUAAUUUGCAACGUCGUCAGCAACUGGAGGAGCAGACUGUGGAAUUAUCCACUGAAGUUCAGUCUUUGUACAGAGAGAUAAAGGAUGCUAAAGAGCAGGUAAGCCCUUUGGAAACAACGUUGGAAAAGUUCCAGCAAGAAAAAGAAGAAAUAAUCAACAAAAAAAAUACAAGCAACAAAAUAGCACAGGAUAAACUGAAUGAUAUUAAAGAGAAGGUUAAAAAUAUUCAUGGUUAUAUGAAAGACAUUGAGAAUUAUAUUCAAGAUGGGAAAGACGACUAUAAGAAGCAAAAAGAAACUGAACUUAAUAAAGUAAUAGCUCAACUAAGUGAAUGCGAGAAACACAAAGAAAAGAUAAAUGAAGAUAUGAGAAUCAUGAGACAAGAUAUUGAUACACAGAAGAUACAAGAAAGGUGGCUACAGGAUAACCUUACUUUAAGAAAAAGAAAUGAGGAACUAAAAGAAGUUGAAGAAGAAAGAAAACAACAUUUGAAGGAAAUGGGUCAAAUGCAGGUUUUGCAAAUGAAAAAUGAACAUCAGAAGUUGGAAGAGAACAUAGACAAUAUAAAAAGAAAUCACAGUUUGGCAUUAGGGCGACAGAAAGGUUAUGAGGAAGAAAUUAUUCAUUUUAAGAAAGAACUUCGAGAACCACAAUUUCGGGACGCUGAGGAAAAGUAUAGAGAAAUGAUGAUUGUUAUGAGGACAACAGAACUUGUGAACAAGGAUCUGGAUAUUUAUUAUAAGACUCUUGACCAAGCAAUAAUGAAAUUUCACAGUAUGAAAAUGGAAGAAAUCAAUAAAAUUAUUCGUGACCUGUGGCGAAGUACCUAUCGUGGACAAGAUAUUGAAUACAUAGAAAUACGGUCUGAUGCCGAUGAAAAUGUAUCAGCUUCUGAUAAAAGGCGGAAUUAUAACUACCGAGUGGUGAUGCUGAAGGGAGACACGGCCUUGGAUAUGCGAGGACGAUGCAGUGCUGGACAAAAGGUAUUAGCCUCACUUAUCAUUCGCCUGGCCCUGGCUGAAACGUUCUGCCUCAACUGUGGUAUCAUUGCCUUGGAUGAGCCAACAACAAAUCUUGACCGAGAAAACAUUGAAUCUCUUGCACAUGCUCUGGUUGAGAUAAUAAAAAGUCGCUCACAGCAGCGUAACUUCCAGCUUCUGGUAAUCACUCAUGAUGAAGAUUUUGUGGAGCUUUUAGGACGUUCUGAAUAUGUGGAGAAAUUCUACAGGAUUAAAAAGAACAUCGAUCAGUGCUCAGAGAUUGUGAAAUGCAGUGUUAGUUCCCUGGGAUUUAAUGUUCAUUAAAAAUAUCCAAGAUUUAAAUGCCAUAGAAAUGUAGGUCCUCAGAAAGUGUGUAAGAACAAACUGCUUAUUUCUGAUAUCAACUUAGUAAGAAAAUAUAUUCUUUCAAAGGAACAUUGUGUCUAGGAUUUUGGAUGUUGGGAGGUUCUAAAAUUAUGAAACUUGUUUCACUGAAAAUUGGACAGAUUGCCUGUUUCUGAUUCCCUGCUCUUCAUCCCAUUCCAGGCAGCCUCUGACAGGCCUUCAGGGUUCAGCAGCACAGCCGAGACUCGACUCAGUGCCUUCCUCCCCAAUAUGGUCAUCCAGACUCAGGGCUCUCUCGACAGAGAGGAAAUUCUCCACUGUGCACACCCACCUUUGGAAAGCUCUGACCACUUGAGGCCCGAUCUGCCCAUCGUGAAGAAGCCUGUAACACUCCUCUGCAUCUAUCCUGUGUAGCAUCCUGGCUUCACCAUCAAUCCUGAUUCCUCUCCAAGGGGGCAUUGCCGUGUGGAAGGCAAGCCAGGCUCACUCACAAAGUCAAGGCCUGCUCCCUGUAGGGUCCAACCAGACCUAGAGGAGCAGGCUUGCCAUAUGCUCUGCAGAUGCCAUUUCUAAGAAAAGCCUAAUCACAGUUUUUCCUGGAAUUGCCAGCUGACAUCUUGAAUCCUUCCAUUCCACACAGAAUGCAAGCACGUCACACGCUUUUGAAUUAUGCUUUGUGGAGUUCUGUUUUUCAGAGUCAGCCGGGUCUUGAUUCAGUCACGUGGCAUGGUUUUGUGCCAUCUGUAGAUAUAAUGAGCAUAUUGCCUAGACAGCUUUUCUCAGCUGGGUCCAGAAGAGAAUUAAGCCCUAAAGUCCUAAAGCGUCUGUGCUAGGUUAAAUAGUUGGCCCCCAAAGAUAGCCAGGUCCUGAUUUCUAGAACCCGUGACUGUUACUUUAUAUGGCAAAGGAAACUUUGCAGAUGUGAUUAAAGCUAAGGACCUUAAGACAGUGUCCUGGGGGCGGGGCAGGGGUGGAGGGGGGGUGGUUCCUAAAUGUAAUCACAAGUAAGAUUAAGAGCACAUCAAUUCUAGUCAUAUAGUAAACAUCCACAAUAGCCAAGAUAUUUUUAUCCUAAGAAUGCGAGAUUUCAGAAAAUGAAAAAUCUGUUGAUAAAUCAUCACUAUAAUAAAAAUCUGUUGAUAAAUCAUCACUAUAAUAAAACCGAAGGGGAAAAAAUUAUGAAAAAUUCUAGCAGCUAUAUUUGAUAAAAUUCAACAUCUAGCUUUAGCAAACUCAGUUUUGCAAAGAAUAUUUUCUUAAUGUUAUCUGUUGCUAAAUCAAAAUUAAACAGUCAUCUUAAUUGCAAAAUAAAACAUUUCUCAGUAAAUAUUAAAGCCAGUUACCUUCUAUCAACAUGUUUCUGAAAGUGCUGGUUGUUGCAGCAAGGAAUAACAAAGGCAAUACAAGACCAAUAUAGGCAGUGAAACAAAAUUAUCAUUUGCAAGUUAAAACAGACUUCCCAGUUUUAAAUCUGGUUUCCCCCUGUGUAUGUGGCAUCCUUGGCAGCACUUUUGAGAGUGGCUGCUUUCGUUCAGAUAGGUGCCUUUCUGGCUUCUCAUUGCUGCUUCUAGAUCAUUCUCCAAAUAUCCCCCCUUCCCCACAUUGGAAUGAAUAGCCAUCACAGUAUGGAUGGAGGUUAGAAUGAGCCAGACUGCCUGGGCUCAAAUCCUAGCACACCACUCAUUAGCUGGGGACCUUGAGCAAGUUAUUUGUCCUGUUUUGUUUCUGUUUCCUUAUAUGUAAAAGUGGGUAAAAUGGUACAUGUUUUAUAGGGUUGUUAUGAAGAUUGAAUGACAUUAUUUAUAAACUGCUUAGAACUGCUUGCCACCUACUAAAUACUGUGUGAGUGUUCAAGAAAAACCUGUCUUCAUUUCA